AAAUUGAAGAGUUUGAUCAUGGCUCAGAUUGAACGCUGGCGGCAGGCCUAACACAUGCAAGUCGAACGGUAACAGGAAGCAGCUUGCUGUUUCGCUGACGAGUGGCGGACGGGUGAGUAAUGUCUGGGAAACUGCCUGAUGGAGGGGAUAACUACUGGAAACGGUAGCUAAUACCGCAUAACGUCGCAAGACCAAAGAGGGGGACCUUCGGGCCUCUUGCCAUCGGAUGUGCCCAGAUGGGAUUAGCUAGUAGGUGGGGUAACGGCUCACCUAGGCGACGAUCCCUAGCUGGUCUGAGAGGAUGACCAGCCACACUGGAACUGAGACACGGUCCAGACUCCUACGGGAGGCAGCAGUGGGGAAUAUUGCACAAUGGGCGCAAGCCUGAUGCAGCCAUGCCGCGUGUAUGAAGAAGGCCUUCGGGUUGUAAAGUACUUUCAGCGGGGAGGAAGGGAGUAAAGUUAAUACCUUUACUCAUUGACGUUACCCGCAGAAGAAGCACCGGCUAACUCCGUGCCAGCAGCCGCGGUAAUACGGAGGGUGCAAGCGUUAAUCGGAAUUACUGGGCGUAAAGCGCACGCAGGCGGUUUGUUAAGUCAGAUGUGAAAUCCCCGGGCUCAACCUGGGAACUGCAUCUGAUACUGGCAAGCUUGAGUCUCGUAGAGGGGGGUAGAAUUCCAGGUGUAGCGGUGAAAUGCGUAGAGAUCUGGAGGAAUACCGGUGGCGAAGGCGGCCCCCUGGACGAAGACUGACGCUCAGGUGCGAAAGCGUGGGGAGCAAACAGGAUUAGAUACCUGGUAGUCCACGCCGUAAACGAUGUCGACUUGGAGGUUGUGCCCUUGAGGUGUGGCUUCCGGAGCUAACGCGUUAAGUCGACCGCCUGGGGAGUACGGCCGCAAGGUUAAAACUCAAAUGAAUUGACGGGGGCCCGCACAAGCGGUGGAGCAUGUGGUUUAAUUCGAUGCAACGCGAAGAACCUUACCUGGUCUUGACAUCCACGGAAGUUUUCAGAGAUGAGAAUGUGCCUUCGGGAACCGUGAGACAGGUGCUGCAUGGCUGUCGUCAGCUCGUGUUGUGAAAUGUUGGGUUAAGUCCCGCAACGAGCGCAACCCUUAUCCUUUGUUGCCAGCGGUCCGGCCGGGAACUCAAAGGAGACUGCCAGUGAUAAACUGGAGGAAGGUGGGGAUGACGUCAAGUCAUCAUGGCCCUUACGACCAGGGCUACACACGUGCUACAAUGGCGCAUACAAAGAGAAGCGAACUCGCGAGAGCAAGCGGACCUCAUAAAGUGCGUCGUAGUCCGGAUUGGAGUCUGCAACUCGACUCCAUGAAGUCGGAAUCGCUAGUAAUCGUGGAUCAGAAUGCCACGGUGAAUACGUUCCCGGGCCUUGUACACACCGCCCGUCACACCAUGGGAGUAGGUUGCAAAAGAAGUAGGUAGCUUAACCUUCGGGAGGGCGCUUACCACUUUGUGAUUCAUGACUGGGGUGAAGUCGUAACAAGGUAACCGUAGGGGAACCUGCGGUUGGAUCACCUCCUUA
rnacentral:rRNA from 1 species